rnacentral:rRNA from 1 species
AUGCAGCCAUACCACCGUGAACGUGCAUGAUCACCUCUGAUCUUGAAAGCUUAGCAGAAUUGGGCCUGGUUAGUACUUGGAUGGGAGUCAGUUUUCUUUACAGGUGUAAUGCCUU